GCUAAAAUAACGGAAUCCGAAAAUGCCUAACACCUUCUCUCGGGUUAACAGAGUUUCUUACCCGGAUUUCUAUGUUCGCGGACAGUAAAACAUAGUCAAUCUUUUCUCGAUUCGGAUUUGAAUCGGUGACUAGAGACACCAUAAAUUAUCCAAAGUGGCGACUCUGAUUUCUAAAUAAAGAAUCUCGUUUCGAUUGUCACUUAAAUUGGAAAAACUCCCUUAUACAUUUUCAGGGAUAGGAAAAAGGAGGUGUGACACCCGACUGGUCAUUUUGAGAUAAGCACUUUGUCUAGUGGUUUAAGGUCUCGAGCAGCUUCA
rnacentral:lncRNA from 1 species